CGCGCGGUGGAGCAGCCCGGUAGCUCGCGAGGCUCAUAACCUCGAGGCCGUCGGUUCGCCUCCGGCCCCCGCCA
rnacentral:tRNA from 1 species